UUUUCAGGCGUGCCCUUGCAACCCUCUCAGUGACUCCUUCUCCACCUUGUCGUCCUCUCAACUGCCAAAAAAAUGACCCUGCAUCCAAGCCUGUCACUGCUACACUAGCAGCUGUUCCCUCACAUCUGACCCUGGACUAUACCUGCUGCUUUCUCCUAUAAGGGAGAGAGGGGAGAAGGAGACAUUCAGCAUCACUGUCAAGGGAAAUAUAGUAUUCUUUCUAACAAAAAUAUCUACAUAUAUCAGGGUGCUGUAUCCCAGGAAAUAAUCAAAAUUCAUGCAAGCGUUAGUUUUGAAAACCGAACUUGUCUAAAUAAAGUGGUCUCUUCACAACUUACCACUGAGUAUGGGGUAAAUUGCGCCGCUGGACAGGCAUCCUCUCCUGAGUCCGUAGGGGAGUUGCAGCGAUGGGACAAGACUAACUACCAAUUGGGGAGAAAUGAAAGGUAACAGGCGUCGACACAGAUGAGCUGUAUGCCUGGAGAGUGGAUACAUCGCAUUUCUCGACAUUUCAAUUUCAGGAAGAAAGGGGCAGAGAGUGCACACCAAAUGGACCUUAAAAUGGGUUAGGUUGAUAGUGCAGACUGAGGAGUGUCACCUACUCAACC